rnacentral:rRNA from 1 species
CAGUCGCCGCGGUAAUACGAAGGGUGCAAGCGUUACUCGGAAUUACUGGGCGUAAAGCGUGCGUAGGCGGUGAGUUAAGUCUGCUGUGAAAUCCCCGGGCUCAACCUGGGAAUGGCAGUGGAUACUGGCUCGCUAGAGUGUGUCAGAGGAUGGUGGAAUUCCCGGUGUAGCGGUGAAAUGCGUAGAGAUCGGGAGGAACAUCAGUGGCGAAGGCGGCCAUCUGGGACAACACUGACGCUGAGACACGAAAGCGUGGGGAGCAAACAGGAUUAGAUACCCCCGUAGUCCCUGUCUCUUAUAC